rnacentral:lncRNA from 1 species
UUUUGGCACGGCACCUCUUCCACUCUGCCACCAUAAACUGACAGAGCUAAGCAUCCCUCUCCUUCAAACAGCAAAAAAUGCAGGAAAGAGGACAAGCUUCCACCAAAAUGUUUGAGCCCAGACUAGAGCAAAAUGAGACCCAAAUAUGAAAGAACCCAUGAAAAUGGGAACUUUGUCAUCUUUGCCAUGCAGAGGGAUCGGAUGAUGCAAUUGGAUCCCC